rnacentral:rRNA from 1 species
ACGGGAGGCAGCAGUGGGGGAUAUUGCACAAUGGGGGAAACCCUGAUGCAGCAACGCCGCGUGAGGGAAGAAGGUUUUCGGAUUGUAAACCUCUGUCCUUGGUGAAGAUAAUGACGGUAGCCGAGGAGGAAGCUCCGGCUAACUACGUGCCAGCAGCCGCGGUAAUACGUAGGGAGCGAGCGUUGUCCGGAUUUACUGGGUGUAAAGGGUGCGUAGGCGGAAGAGCAAGUCAGUAGUGAAAUUUAUGGGCUUAACCCAUAACGUGCUAUUGAAACUGUUCUCCUUGAGUGAGUCAGAGGCAGGCGGAAUUCCCGGUGUAGCGGUGAAAUGCAUAGAGAUCGGGAGGAACACCAGUGGCGAAGGCGGCCUGCUGGGGCUUAACUGACGCUGAGGCACGAAAGCGUGGGGAGCAAACAGGAUUAGAUACCCUGGUA